rnacentral:lncRNA from 1 species
AUGCUUCCACCACUGUCAGAAUAUCAGACGCUGUGUCUAAGAAGGGAGACUGUCCAACAGAGAACCCCGCUUCCUGCUGCACAGCAGCUGGCCAUUUUGACGAAGACUUCGUCCUGUGAUGCUAAUACCUGGAUCACCUAAGGUAAGGUUUGUAUUGGGAGCUCAUGCCUGGACAGACAGAACUUCAAAGCGAUGACUUUGAAAGCAGU